rnacentral:rRNA from 1 species
GGGGAAUUUUGGACAAUGGGCGAAAGCCUGAUCCAGCCAUUCCGCGUGCAGGAUGAAGGCCCUCGGGUUGUAAACUGCUUUUGUACAGAACGAAAAGGUCUCUAUUAAUACUAGGGGCUCAUGACGGUACUGUAAGAAUAAGCACCGGCUAACUACGUGCCAGCAGCCGCGGUAAUACGUAGGGUGCGAGCGUUAAUCGGAAUUACUGGGCGUAAAGCGUGCGCAGGCGGUUAUAUAAGACAGAUGUG